rnacentral:rRNA from 1 species
CGGCGUGCCUAACACAUGCAAGUCAACUUGACUGAAGGAGCAAUCUGACAGUAGAGUGGCGCAAGGGUGCGUAACGCGUAAGUAACUUGCCCAAGGUAAGGAAUAACGUCGAGAAAUCGGCGCUAAUACCUCAUAAUGCAGCGGAUCCGCACGGAUAUGUUGUUAAAGGUUUACCGCCUUGGGAUAGGCUUGCGUCUGAUUAGUUAGUUGGUGUGGUAACGGCACACCAAGGCUACGAUCAGUAACUGGUCUGAGAGGAUGAUCAGUCACACUGGAACUGAGACACGGUCCAGACUCCUACGGGAGGCAGCAGUGAGGAAUAUUGGGCAAUGCUCGAAAGAGUGACCCAGCAACGCCGCGUGGAGGAUGAAGGUAUUCUAUAUCGUAAACUCCUGUGAGAGCAGACGAAAGACAGAUUAUUAAUCUGGAUGACUGUAUGCUCAGAGGAAGCCCCGGCUAACUACGUG